rnacentral:rRNA from 1 species
AAUAGAUACCCUGGUAGUCCACGCCGUAAACGAUGGAUGCUAGCUAUUGGGGGGAAUCGACCCCCUCCGAAGCGAAGCUAACGCGUUAAGCAUCCCGCCUGAGUAGUACGAGCGCAAGCUUAAAACUCAAAGGAAUUGACGGGGACCCGCACAAGCGGUGGAGCGUGUGGUUUAAUUCGAUGGUAAACGAAGAACCUUACCAAGGUUUGACAUCCCGGUAGCCGUUCUCCGAAAGGAGAAUUUCAUUUAGUUGGACCGGUGACGGGUGAUGCAUGGCCGUCGUCAGCUCGUGUCGUGAGAUGUUGGGUUAAGUCCCGCAACGAGCGCAACCCUUAUGAUUUAGUUGGAUUUUUCUAAACAGACUGCCCUGGUAACAGGGAGGAAGGAGGGGAUGAUGUCAGGUCAGUAUUUCCCUUACACCUUGGGGCGACACACGCGCUACAAUGGCCGGUACAAUGGGCAGCUAAGCCGCGAGGUGGAGCAAAUCCCAUCAAAGCCGGUCCCAGUUCGGAUUGCAGGCUGAAACCCGCCUGCAUGAAGCCGGAAUCGCUAGUAACC